rnacentral:ncRNA from 2 species
AUCUAUCUUCGGGGCGUGGUGAAAUUCCCGACCGGCGGUGAUGAGUCAAUCUCUAAGCCCGCGAGCCGUUAAGGCAGGAUUUGGUGCGAAUCCAAAGCCGACAGUACAGUCUGGAUGGGAGAAGAUGGAG